rnacentral:rRNA from 1 species
CCUACGGGGGGCAGCAGUGGGGAAUAUUGGACAAUGGGGGGAACCCUGAUCCAGCCAUGCCGCGUGUGUGAAGAAGGCCCUCGGGUUGUAAAGCACUAUCAGUGAGGAAGAACGCCUGGUGGUUAAUACCCAUCAGGAAAGACAUCACUCACAGAAGAAGCACCGGCUAACUCCGUGCCAGCAGCCGCGGUAAUACGGAGGGUGCGAGCGUUAAUCGGAAUUACUGGGCGUAAAGCGCGCGUAGGUGGCUUGAUAAGCCGGUUGUGAAAGCCCCGGGCUCAACCUGGGAACGGCAUCCGGAACUGUCAAGCUAGAGUGCAGGAGAGGAAGGUAGAAUUCCCGGUGUAGCGGUGAAAUGCGUAGAGAUCGGGAGGAAUACCAGUGGCGAAGGCGGCCUUCUGGACUGACACUGACACUGAGGUGCGAAAGCGUGGGUAGCAAACAGGAUUAGAUACCCUGGUAGUC